rnacentral:lncRNA from 1 species
UGGGGCUUUGUUUGGGACACCUUUGUGUCCGUAGUUUCUUUGUUCCCCUUGAAAAACACAGCUGAGUUUAUACUGCUGCGCCCACUCCUUUUCCUACAAAAGGAAUCCUAUCCCUAUGCUUCUGACGCAUUUAAUUUGUUAGCUGAUGGGCUGCUUUAAUUGUAGUCAAAGGAGAUUCACAUGAAUACUGCAGAAAGGUGGGAAUGGUGAGAAUACUUUUUUCUACUUGCAAGUAAGCUAGCAUUCAUUUUACUGAUGAUCUUUAAUUUCCAGGGGUAAGAGAUGCUACCAUUUGUUCUGUGUUUAUGAAGCACUGGAGACAUAACAGAGUGUUCAGGCUCCUGAAGUUGAAUGGCAGCUGUGGGUAUCUCUUGGACCUGAGCCACCAGAGCAGGAGAGAUGCCCAUAGGAGGGAACAGAACUAGCAGAGUUGAGCAUUCAACCAUUUUCCCUUCAUUUUAUGCACCAGGGAGAGGAAGAACUGAGAGGCAGAGAGAACGUGGGACCACAACUCUCAUUUCCAGAGCUCUUUCUCAGUGAGUGCUGCUGGCAGUGUAAUGUGGGCAGGGUCUAUGUUAGAGGAGAAAAGCAAAGCUGUGCCCUAGUCCAUCACCAGUAGAUGAAAGUGUGGCUCCUGCUUCUGGACACUGGCACUCUUUUCGGUGUCUGGGCCAUGGUGAGAGCCCUUUUUGUACUACCCUGGCCCUGGUUCAGGCUAUAAUGCUGUUCUAGCCACUGUUUGAGCUCUGCUGCAUUCAUACAUGCUCCUGCAGGGUACACAAUCUUGAUAAAGGUAUCCCGUGCUGCAGAAAGCAGUUACUUUCAUUCAUAAUUUUCUUUAAUUAAUGACUGUCACGAUGAAGAUUUGUACUUUCUUUUUGAUUUUCCCUGGCAUUGGCUCACAUCAAGUAAUUCAAGUUAUGCCUUUCCUUGCUAGGUUGAAGAGCACUUCAGGAAAUCCUUGUUUCUCUUCAGGGGGGAGCUUGUACAUUGUAAUCCCAUCACCCUUCAGUCUUCAUUUUCACACUCACUAAACAUUGUUCUCCUUAUCUCUUGCAAGAGCAAGGUCUUCCUGAGAGAGUGGGCUCCAUUAUGUUCAGGAGCAGAAUGAAAAUGAAAUCAUCAUUAGUCGGAUUGAUUCGGUGUCUGAAUACACAUUGUACCAUGAGGAUCCUCUUACCCUGAGCCAAAGUCUGUCAAAGUCAAUUCCAACAGCUGAUGAGGCCCUUCAGGAUAGGUCAGUUUUUUCCUUGAAAUCCCAUCAUGGCAACUUCUGCAUUUGAUGAGUAUUACCAGCACAGAUAGACGCACCAUGGAGGGAAUCCCAGCCACACAGAAAAAAUAAAUAAUCAACUAAGACUAUUAUUGACCUGAAAACUGCCUGUCAUUCUGCUACUACAUAAUAGUCACAGAAUACACAUUUCAAAGCCACGGUUUAACAGAAAUACUUAAAACCUGACAACUUAUGAUGAUUCAACAAGAUGAGAAAAAGACAAGGGCUCAAUCUCCAAACCCUGAUCAGUGGGUGAGCAUUUCAUAAGCCUGAGCAAACAGGAGAGAUCAUUGCGAAGAAGUGCUUGAGUUGAUUUGCAUUGCUCUCAAUUAGGGAAGGUAGUCCAGCCAACCACUACUCCAGCAUUACUGACAAGGACAACAAUUUGAUUUCUAGAAGCACUACCUGACUGAAAGAUUCUGUGAUUAGGAACUGCCACUCCUUUUGGACACAAAAGGGGAAUCUUCACCUUGAAGUUCUGGGAUGCAGGUGGACUUGCUAGAUUCUUUCAGGGUCCAGUUCACUACAGUGUCAUCACUGACUUGCUGAGCAUCACCCAGGUCCUUGAAGACAUUCAGCAUGUACCUGAACAGUGGCAGAGAAAACAAGAUUUGGCUCAGAUCCUGGGCUAAGACCCAGCAAGCACACAGCCUGGAGGGAACAUGAACUCAUAGCAACACGCAAAGUCUUCAUGUAGUCUCAGCUCUGCUUUUUUUUUUUUUUUUUAAUUAUUUUAUUUUUCACCCCUUCAGCAAAAAGGAAGAGCCAUCUAUUGUAUCUGUAGUGCAAUUUCUGUUAAAUCAUUUAACCUCUAAUUCCUCUCACUUCGUUUCAUAUUCAGACAUUACUAGUGGACUGGAAAUUAUUCAGCCUGUAAAUACCAAGUUAAAAUAGAAAGAAUAACACUGCUUCUCCCUUGUUUGAGGGGAUUGCACUGGUUGUGCAAAUGCAGGGUGUGGAAAACACUGCCUAGUGGAUGAACUAGGGAGUAUUCUAGGUUACAUGACACUUAUUACUUUGCACAAGAAACUGGUAUUAGGCAGAGAGAAUGGCGUUGAAUCCUCUUGUUGAAGGAAAUAUUGGAUGACUUUAGCUUUGAAGAGCUUUCUUCCCUUGGCUGUAAGUGAGCGAACUAGAAAAAGCCACAGUAAAUCUUUCUAUUGCUGGGGAACAAAUGAGAAACUGUACUACAGAGAGUAUGGAAAAAGAAAAGCAAGCCCUUAUGACCUUAAGAACAUAAUAAAGAUGGUCAGGCCAGAGGAAGUCUGGGCAAAAACAAGGGACUGUGGAAGUUGCCUGUCAUGAUGACUAGUGGGAAGUAGAACAUGCACGAAGAAAAUGAGACAAUAGCUGGAAAUAUGUAGACACUGCUAAGACUAACCUUGAGCCACAUCCUUAUUUAGGGACUAACAACAAUUGAUGUUUAAUAUUCUAGUCCAAUGGCAAUGUUUUCCCUUAUCUUAGAGAAUCUGUUAUUCAUUUGUUUGAAUGCAUGUAAGCAUACAAACCUAAAGACAGGAUUGGGUUUAGCCUCGAGGCUUCUUCACAAGUAUAUGUUCUCAACAGACAGCAAAUGCUAAAGCUAGAAUUGUUUCAGAGUCUGCUUUGACACUUUCCACAUGACUCUUCUAGCAUGUUCCAGUCAUCAAACAACAUAUACAACCUUCAGUCAUCUUCUAAGUGACCUAUUUAGGAGCAAUUUCAGCAUGAAUAUAAAUUCAGUGAAAAUGUAAAUAUGCAUUCAACAGUUGCUGGAUGAAAUGGUGGGUGGUGAGAAGAAAGGGAGUUUCCAUCUGUCUAGCCUUACAGGCACUACCUUCUCUCAGCAUUCAGAAGCACAGUGAGUUAAACUGCUGUAUGCUUGAGCUGGUGGGAUCACCAUCGUCUGCAAUAAAGUACCCAGCUUCCAACUGAAAAACAGAAGUAUUCAGCACAACAGGAAUUUUCUGAUUUAAGCAAAAGGAAGAGUGGAUCUGCCUUACUGCAAAAGCUCUGCCAAUCAGCAUGGAAAAAGCAGAGUCCAGGAGUAAAUACUAUAAGAAAGCAUGUCGUGGCUUCAUGUACGCAAGACACUUCAGCAAUGCUAUAAUCUAUUGGAGGUGGGCAGGAAAGAGAAAAAUUGUUGUGUUUUUUUUUUCUAAGAUGUCUUCAGUAACUAGAAAUGUACCCUGGAAGGAGUCAUCCUGAUGGACAGUGUGAUGGCUCUUUUGUCACUUAUACUGCAGUUUCAAGUCUGGAAGCAACCGGCUAUCUCUGGUGGUCCUGCGUUCUCGGCUACUGACAGGAUUGGUCAUACAAAUGGCAACAGUACGUCAGAGCUUUGAAAUGGCUCAGUGGCAGCUGAGGCUGAGAAGCAAAACUGCUGUUAUUACUCCUAUGAGAAAGAAUGGAAGAUUGAUUUUAAUGACAACUUUGUCAGUGUUUAGCAAUGCUGUUUUUAAGCAGCUUAAAACAUAAUUUCCAAUUUCAACGACGUUCAGCCUUUCCUUUCCACAAAGGCUUAUAGUAGACCAGUGGUAUGCAACUGGCAUGAGCCAGAGCCAACAGAUGCCUGUAUUAAGGUGGUACCACCUGGGCUGAAGCCCAUGGAAAACUCAAAAUAUUCAUUUAAGAGUUUGCAGUGCUGUUUAUAACCAAACAUGGACAAGUAGUGUAAAUGAAUCUGUAGCGGUGACUCCAAUGGACAGCUGCAGAACUACAGAAAUGGAGCUGGGAGCAGGAUGUAGCUCACAGAGCUAACAGAAUAGUAAAGAGAAAGAAAGAAGACAAAUGGUAAUUAAAAAAAAACUCUGGAGAAUGCUGAUGAACCUGAUUUGACACCACUAGUGCUUCAGGACUAAGGGUAUGAAACAGGACAAUAGAAAAAAAUCCAGCUUUGAAUACUCUUGCUUUACAAUAAGAAAUACCAUUUGGUCUAUAGAUAAGAAGUAGGAAUAAAAAUCUGCCUUAAAACUGCUUGUGAGAAGGAAAAGAAUCGUUUGUUAUUUUAUACCAAUCUGUCCUUUGUUCUAAUGUCUUCAAUACCAGUGCUUAAUUCUCUGAACUCACAUUUGUUCUAAUCUGGUGUAGCAGAAAUGCUAACUCACAGCCUGAAGCAGUGAUUGAGCACCUGGUGGGACGGCAGGGCCAACCCAGGGGAGCUCAGGUGCAUGCAAUGUACUUGAGUGAGCAGAAGGGGUGUAGCCAGGAUCCACCCCUUCCCAAACCUCAUUUAAGGGUUGGCAGUGGAGGCAAGGAUUUCUUGCUGGAGGUUCCUGCCUACCAGAGGCCUUCUGAAAGACCAGAGCUUGGAGUUAGCAGCCUUUUGCUGUACAAAUAAUAAAGUCCCCAGAAGAACAUUGACUGCUCUUAACUGAAGUUCCUAAACCUGAAUUUUCAGAGGAAUUGGAUUUUAUUCAGCUUAUACAACCCUCUGUGAUUUUUAAGGAGUUGACCUGUGUUUAUGAAGAAGCCUUAUGUGUUUUCCCAGACUUCAGGAUUUUUCUUCUGCGAGUUUAUGAGAGAGACACAAAGAAAAAGCAAUAUCCCUUUCUUGAGCUUUGCACCUCUUUCUCCAGCAUUGAAGAUGUUCAAAGCAGAGUGUGUUGCAAAAGUCUCUGCUGUCUCAAAUGAAAUAGGAAUGGUUAUUGAGUUCCCUUUUUUUUUUAAUAGGUACUGUUUUCCAAAACAGGUUUGUAAGGAUGCGUUUUCCAGAUCCUGUUCAAAUCAUCGUUACUUCCCCGUACUGUUGAAAAUUGCUGAAAGCUUGAGCUGUCCUUGUGGCAUCUUGGCAUGAAUAUGACUGAUUCUGUGAAGUAUUCACCGGUGUAACCAAAGGAAAUAUAGGCAGUUUUAGCAAUAUAAAGUCCAUGAAGAUGCUCACAACUUAAGGAUCACGGUGCUGGAAGUGCAUACAUCCAGAACAGAAAAUUGUAAAACAAAAAAAAAAGACAAGGACUGCAGCCUUUUGGAAGACUCCAUCAUGGCUCACAGCUUCAGUUAUCAGUCCCAAUAAAAAAUUAAAAUGGUGGUUUAUGUCGUUUGAAAAAGUCACCUUUUCCUGGAGAUUCCUUCAUCACUCUUAGAAGAGGCUUCAAGAGCUUUUUAGGAGAUAUUCCAUCAAAUAUACG